GACGACGUUGAUAGGCCGGGUGUGUAAGCGCAGCGAUGCGUUGAGCUAACCGGUACUAAUGAACCGUGAGGCUUAACCUUACAACGCCGAAGGUGUUU
rnacentral:rRNA from 3 species